AGGGUUCGAUCAUGGCUCAGGACGAACGCUGGCGGCGCGCCUAACACAUGCAAGUCGAACGAGAGAUGAAGAGCUUGCUCUUCAAAUCGAGUGGCGAACGGGUGAGUAACGCGUGAGGAACCUGCCUCAAAGAGGGGGACAACAGUUGGAAACGACUGCUAAUACCGCAUAAGCCCACGGCUCGGCAUCGAGCAGAGGGAAAAGGAGCAAUCCGCUUUGAGAUGGCCUCGCGUCCGAUUAGCUAGUUGGUGAGGUAACGGCCCACCAAGGCGACGAUCGGUAGCCGGACUGAGAGGUUGAACGGCCACAUUGGGACUGAGACACGGCCCAG
rnacentral:rRNA from 1 species